rnacentral:rRNA from 1 species
AACGAACGCUGGCGGCAUGCCUAACACAUGCAAGUCGAACGAAGGCUUCGGCCUUAGUGGCGCACGGGUGCGUAACGCGUGGGAAUCUACCCUUAGGUACGGAAUAACUCAGGGAAACUUGUGCUAAUACCGUAUAAUGUCUUCGGACCAAAGAUUUAUCGCCUUUGGAUGAGCCCGCGUUGGAUUAGCUUGUUGGUGGGGUAAUGGCCUACCAAGGCGACGAUCCAUAGCUGGUCUGAGAGGAUGAUGAGCCACACUGGGACUGAGACACGGCCCAGACUCCUACGGGAGGCAGCAGUGGGGAAUAUUGGACAAUGGGCGAAAGCCUGAUCCAGCAAUGCCGCGUGAGUGAUGAAGGCCUUAGGGUUGUAAAGCUCUUUUACCCGGGAUGAUAAUGACAGUACCGGGAGAAUAAGCUCCGGCUAACUCCGUGCCAGCAGCCGCAGUAAGAC